rnacentral:rRNA from 1 species
UGCCUAACACAUGCAAGUCGAACGAGACCUUCGGGUCUAGUGGCGCACGGGUGCGUAACGCGUGGGAAUCUGCCCUUGGGUUCGGAAUAACACAGAGAAAUUUGUGCUAAUACCGGAUGAUGUCUUCGGACCAAAGAUUUAUCGCCCAGGGAUGAGCCCGCGUAGGAUUAGCUAGUUGGUGGGGUAAUGGCCCACCAAGGCGACGAUCCUUAGCUGGUCUGAGAGGAUGAUCAGCCACACUGGGACUGAGACACGGCCCAGACUCCUACGGGAGGCAGCAGUGGGGAAUAUUGGACAAUGGGCGCAAGCCUGAUCCAGCAAUGCCGCGUGAGUGAUGAAGGCCUUAGGGUUGUAAAGCUC